rnacentral:rRNA from 1 species
UCCGGUUGAUCCUGCCGGAGGUUACUGCUAUCGGUGUUCGCCUAAGCCAUGCGAGUCAUAUGUAGCAAUACAUGGCGUACUGCUCAGUAACACGUGGAUAACCUGCCCUUGGGACCGGCAUAACCCCGGGAAACUGGGGAUAAUUCCGGAUAACGCAUAUGUGCUGGAAUGCUUUAUGCGUAAAAUGGAUUCGUCUGCCCAAGGAUGGGUCUGCGGCCUAUCAGGUAGUAGUGGGUGUAAUGUACCUACUAGCCAGCGACGGGUACGGGUUGUGAGAGCAAGAGCCCGGAGAUGGAUUCUGAGACAUGAAUCCAGGCCCUACGGGGCGCAGCAGGCGCGAAAACUUUACAAUGCGGGAAACCGUGAUAAGGGGACACCGAGUGCCAGCAUCAUAUGCUGGCUGUCCAGGUGUGUAAAAUACACCUGUUAGCAAGGGCCGGGCAAGACCGGUGCCAGCCGCCGCGGUAACACCGGCGGCCCGAGUGGUGAUCGUGAUUAUUGGGUCUAAAGGGUCCGUAGCCGGUUUGGUCAGCCCUCCGGGAAAUCUGAUAGCUCAACUAUUAGGCUUUCGGGGGAUACUGCCAGACUUGGAACCGGGAGAGGUAAGAGGUAC